rnacentral:lncRNA from 1 species
AUGGCGCCAAAAGUGAAGAAGGAAGCUCCUGCCUCUGCAAAGCAGAAGCCAAAGCGAAGGCUUUAAGGGCCAAGAAGGCAGUGUUGAAAGGUGUCCACAGCCACAUACACACAAAAAAAGAUCGCACGUCACCCACAUUCUGGCGGCCCAAGACACUGCGACUCCAGAGGCAGCAAAAAUAUCCUCAGAAAAGCAUUCCCAGGAGAAACAAGCUUGAUCACUAUGCUAUCAUCAAGUUUCUGCUGACCACUGAGUCUGCCACGGAGAAGACAGACGACAACAACACACUUGUGUUCACUGUGGAUGCUAAAGCCAACAAGCACCAGAUCAAACAGGCUGUGAAGAAGCUCUAUGACAUUGAUGUGGCCGAGGUCAACACCCUGUCAGCCUGAUGGAGAGAAGAAGGCAUACGUUCAACUGCCUCCUGAUUACAAUGCUUUGGAUGUUGCCAACAAAAUUGGGAUCAUCUAAACUGAAUGCAGCUGGUUAA